CCUACGGGUGGCUGCAGUGAGGAAUAUUGGUCAAUGGACGAGAGUCUGAACCAGCCAAGUAGCGUGAAGGAUGACUGCCCUAUGGGUUGUAAACUUCGUGUAUAUGGGAAUAAAAUGUUCCACGUGUGGGAUUUUGUAUGUACCAUAUGAAUAAGGACCGGCUAACCCCGUGCCAGCAGCCGCGGUAAUACGGAGGAUCCGAGCGUUAUCCGGAUUUCUUGGGUUUAAAGGGAGCGUAGGGGGAUUGUUAAGUCAAUUGUGAAGGUUUGCGGCUCAACCGUAAAAUUGCAGUUGAAACUGGCAGUCUUGAGUACAGUAGAGGUGGGCGGAAUUCGUGGUGGAGCGGUGAAAUGCUUAGAUAUCACGAAGAACUUCGAUUGCGAAGGCAGCCUACUAAACUGCCACUGACAUUGAUGCUCGAAAGUGUGGGUAGCAAACAGGAUUAGAUACCCCUGUAGUC
rnacentral:rRNA from 1 species